rnacentral:tRNA from 1 species
UCCAGGAUGGCUCAAUGGCAGAGCACGCGGCUGUUAACCGCAGGGUUGGGGAUUCGAGUCCCUCUCCUGGAGCUA